GACGAACGCUGGCGGCGUGCUUAACACAUGCAAGUCGAACGGUAAGGCCCUUCGGGGUACACGAGUGGCGAAAGGGUGAGUAACACGUGGGUGAUCUGCCCUGCACUUCGGGAUAAGCCUGGGGAACUGGGUCUAAUACCGGAUAGGACCACUGCCUGCCUGGGCGGUGGGGGUAAGCGUUUGCGGUGUGGGAUGGGCCCGCGGCCUACCAGCUUGUUGGUGGGGUGAUGGCCUACCAAGGCGACGCCGGGUAGCCGGCCUGAGAGGGUGACCGGCCACACUGGGCCUGAGAUACGGCCCAGACUCCUACGGGAGGCAGCAGUGGGGAAUAUUGCACAAUGGGCGCAAGCCUGAUGCAGCGACGCCGCGUGAGGGAUGACGGCCUUCGGGUUGUAAACCUCUUUCAGCACCGACGAAGCGCAAGUGACGGUAGGUGCAGAAGAAGGACCGGCCAACCACGUGCCAGCCGCCGCAGUAA
rnacentral:rRNA from 1 species